CCUAUUACCGGUAUACAUAAUUUUAUCCACGCCAUUUUAUCUAGAACAAAUUAAAACUUGUGAACAUUUUCAUAAUAAAAUUAAAAACUAGUCCAAGAAAACAAUUUUUACGUAAAAAACUCUACUUUUAUUACAUUCGUAAUGUCGGAUUAUCGAUCACAAUCAAGGGAUGGACAUCGUGAUAGUGGACGUGGCGGUGGUGGACGAGAUUAUUCCAGUGAUGAUGAUCCGCCCAUGUCGCGUCUUUUCAUAAUUUGUAACAAAGCACAUACCGAAGAAGAUUUCCGUGAUGCAUUUUCUUCAUAUGGUGAGAUUGAAGAUAUUUGGGUUGUAAAGGAUAAAAAUUCGGGGGAAAACAAAGGAAUAGCUUAUGUAAAAUUUGCCAAAACAUCUGACGCCGCUAAGGCACAAGAAGAGAUGAAUGGCAAAACCAUUGGUAAAAUGGAUCGUACCUUGAAGGUAUUAGUAGCAGCAAAUCGAAACCAAGGUUCGAACAAGUCAGAGAAUGAACAGGAAAAGUAUGUGCGUUUAUUUAUUGUUAUAUCGAAAUCUGCAACAGAAGAGGAAAUCAGAAACGAAUUUUCACAGUGGGGAGAUGUGGAAAAUGUGACGAUAGUUAAAGACAAAUCCACAGGAUCUCCGAAAGGAUUUGGUUAUGUUCGGUUCACAAAAUUUUAUCAUGCAGCAGUAGCCUUUGAAAACUGCCCCACAAAGUAUAAAGCAGUAUUCGCUGAACCAAAAGGUUCAACACGAUCACAAAGAGAUCAAUACGGUCGGCCAGCGGAUGAUAGCCCACUUAUUAGUUCUGGUCGCAGUGGUGGCAGUGGUGGAGGUAGUGGCAGCGGAUCUUAUAACAAUGGCAACUUCAACAAUGAUUGGAAUUGUUCUUUCAAUAGCGAUAUGGCAGCAUUCCUCCGAAUGCAGAAUGUNCCAGUACCACAACCAACAUGUUUAGAAGUGAUUGCUAGUCAUUCCGUGAAUCAGGAUCAGUUAUGGCGUUUAUUUGAUAUAAUCCCUGGCUUGGAUUAUUGCCAAAUAACCAGAGAAUAUGGACCGAGAACUAAUGAAGCAAUAGUGCUUUACGACAACCCUGAGGCAGCUAUUUAUGCAAAAGACAAAUUGCAUGGUUUGGAAUAUCCAAUGGGGGAGCGUAUNAUAGUUAAAGUGGCCGGAAUGAGUUCAGCUAGAAUGGACACGUCUUUUAUAGAUAAGCGUACUAAAAAGGAUUCAAUAUGUAAUGUCCCAUUGCCACCUGCCCAGCCCAUGGUAUCGCCCGAUACAACAGUAGCACAGCGUUUGUUUAUCGUUUUAGCUGCGAAUCUUCCGCAGUCUAUAUUGAAGAAUGUGUUCUCUUGUUGGAAGGGUUUAAUCGAUGUCUACUUGCUACCGAAUAAAAAUUGCGGCUACGUUAAAUACGCGGAUAGAGAUAGUGCACAAAAAGCCAUUCAAACGCUGAACGGUGCGGAAAUUUGUGGCACAAAAAUUAAGGUAAUGGAAGCCGAAGAACGAGGUAAUGGAGAUGGUGAUGAUAAUGGAAGGAAACGCUUGCGUAGAAAUUAAAUGUAAGAAAAUCUUUGAAACGUAAUUAUAUUUUAUUUUAUUUUUCUUUGCAAAAAAUCAACAAACGACAGAUAAUGUCAAAAAUUUGUAACUGACAUAAAACAUAAAGCAAACCAAAUUAAAACCAUAACAGUAACGUUCCAUUACUUAAUAAAACAAGAUAUAUAAUGAAACUAACUGACUGCAGAUAACAUUUACGGAAACUAAACGCAAACGGAGUUAAAACGGAAACUGGUAGAUACAAUAAGAACGAAGAUAACACAAAGGUGGUGAAAGCAUAUACUGCAUACGAAUAUGUAAAAUGCUUCAGCAAUGAGCAAAACCACCAAACAAGACGACUUAGACCUUCACAAUCACUAUGUCACAGUCAUAGUCACCACAAUAUGAAUAAUGCCACAGAAUGCCACUUGUAUAGACAAUGACCGAUUUGAGACCAAGUACCCCAAAAACUAAAACGGAGUCAAAACCGCUAAAGCGCAACGGACACUGCAAUGAGUUAUAGUACAGAAACAAAUUGAUAUUACGAGUGUUAAUUUGAGAAGAGCUUUUACAAGAAUAAAUGAACGAAAUUAGCGAAAAAUUGAACGUAACCUAAACUA
rnacentral:misc_RNA from 1 species